UACGUAGGCAGCGAGCGUUGUUCGGAGUUACUGGGCGUAAAGAGUGCGUAGGCGGUUUUCUAAGUUUGGUGUGAAAUCUCCCGGCUCAACUGGGAGGGUGCGCCGAAGACUGGAAGGCUUGAGUAUGGGAGAGGUAAGCGGAAUUCCUGGUGUAGCGGUGAAAUGCGUAGAUAUCAGGAGGAACACCUGUGGCGAAGGCGGCCCCCUGGUUGGAUACUGACGCUGAGACGCGAAAGCGUGGGGAGCAAACAGG
rnacentral:rRNA from 1 species